UUCUUUUGGAAGCAUUUAAAGGAACAUUAUGGUGUGGAACGGCAGCCAAUUUGGGAUAAAAUUAAAGAUAUUGUAAUCAAGUCCAUAAUAAGCGGGGAAGAAUUCAUGCAAGCAGGUACGACUUCUUACGUAAAGAACAGACACAGCGUCUUCGAACUUUUUGGAUACGAUUUCUUCAUUGAUGACAAUAUGGAGCCAUGGCUUAUGGAAGUGAACGUUUUGCCAAGAAUAACAAAAGAAGGCCUAAAAGAAGUGCACCAUCCUCUGUUAGUGGAUAUGUUGAACCUGGUUGGUCUUCAGAUACCAGACGACGACGGGGACAAGCCACAAGGAGAAAGG